GACGAAGGGGGCUAGCGUUGUUCGGAAUUACUGGGCGUAAAGCGAGUGUAGGUGGUUGUCAUAGUCAGGCGUGAAAGCCUUGAGCUCAACUCAAGAAAUGCGCUUGAUACUGGGCAGCUAGAGGACCGGAGAGGAUAGUGGAAUUCCCAGUGUAGUGGUGAAAUACGUAGAGAUUGGGAAGAACACCAGUGGCGAAGGCGGCUAUCUGGACGGUUUCUGACACUAAGACUCGAAAGUGUGGGGAGCAAACAGG
rnacentral:rRNA from 1 species